rnacentral:misc_RNA from 1 species
UUCUUCUUCCAAAUACUAUAGUAACUAAUGUAAGUAUUUCAUUAAAAAUAAAUUCUGAAAUUGCACAUCUAGUUUAAUUGAAUUGACCAUGCAAUAAUUCCUCUCAAAAUAAGCUUUGAGCUAACCACCUAACAUCCAACCCACACAUUAAAGAAGAAAGUAACAAAUUAUCAUAAUCCAGAAAUGGGACAUGCUUAUGGAAAAGGAAACAUGUAAUUUCACCAGUUUGCCAUCAAUUUUUCUUUAUCCUAGUUCAUUAAUAAAAGUGAGUUUACAACUUUGCAAAAAACUUCCUUCUACCAAG